rnacentral:pre_miRNA from 1 species
GAGACACCCUUAUGGGGCAAGAUCUGUUUCUUUGGGGCUUUGCUGCUCACUGAGUCUGCCCCCUGAGUGUGUCCCU